ACAUCUACAUCUACAUCUACAUCUACAUCUACAUCUUCAACCACCACCACCAUCUACCCCCGUGACUAUCACUUGAACCUAGUGAUAGUUAAAAAAAAAAAAGAAGGUUAGAUUCUCAAUUUCACUGUAACUAUCACCAUAGCAAUUUUUUCUCAAUUUCAACAUAAGCUGCAAAAAAAAGAAGGGACUAUCCGGGAACGAAAAUUGAAAAGUUGGGGACUAUAGAGGUAAUUUUUGGAAAGUUAGGGACUAAAGGUGAAAAAAGAGCAAACCACAGGGGCUAUCCGGGCAUUUAACUCUAUAUUUAAUUUAGAAAUGUGUGUUAAUUUUUUUUAUGAUAUCAAUAUUUGCAAAAAAAAAAAAAAUAUAUAUAUAACGAGCCGGCUUGACUUGAUUGGGAUCGAGUUGGCUCGAAUUUUCUACUAACCGAGCUCGAGCUCGGCUUUUCAGCUCAACAAAAUAAUCGAGCCGAGCUGGCUCGUUUAAGUUCGAGCUCGAGCCCAGCCUGGCUCCGCUUGAUUACAGCCCUAUUCCAAAACACUUAUAUCCAUUUUACAGAGUUGUUGAAGUAUGUCUCUUGACCAUCAUUUUCAGAGUUUUACAUGCUAUUCCCUCAAAUGAAGCAAUUUGAGGUCCGUUAGUUUUACUUCUUGAAUUAAAGCUCUGUAUAAGUAUAGAUUUAUAUUGUUAUAAAACUUGGAUUCUUGAUCUCAUAUCUUCUUUCAAAGGGUUAUAUAUAUAUCAUAUUUUUUAUGCCGAAUUUGAAUUUCUUGAAUAGGUAUUGCAAUCAAGGACCAAUCCGUUGUUUGUGGCAUGGCGAGGCGGAGCCAUACUGGGUGUAAUCGAUUAUGGGCGUGACGCUUGGAUACAUCGAGAAGACUGGAUUAAAAACGGGAUUUAUAUAGCAGGAGGCAGAAAAUACAAGGACUCUUAUUAUCUUCAAGCACAACCAAUGUGUUACAUAAACUCCUAGAAACUAAAACCCCGUUUCGUUCAUCAAUUUUUUUGACUGACUUCGAAAUACAAUGAGUUGAUGUUGUGGUUUGAUCGAAUGAUAUGAU
rnacentral:lncRNA from 1 species